ensembl:lncRNA
AUGAUUCUUGCUGGUCAGGCUGGUUCCGGAGGGGCAAAUAAGAGCUGCUUCAAUGACAGUCUAAUUGUAGCCCACAUUCCCUCCAUGGUCUCUGGGGAGGGUUGCUGCUGGUCCACAAAGCUCUCAGGCCAUGCUAAGUCCCCGGAUGCUUCCACGGGUCUGCCGCUUCCAUCCUGCUGUAGGCUCAGUGAAGAAGGUGUUGACCCUGGUGACCUGAGCCUGCUUCCAUUGGGUAAUAGGAAAUGGCACUGACCCCUCCUGAUCCCCCCGAUUACCUUCGUGAAGCGUGAAUGUGGUAUGGAAUCACACAUCAGGAGACGAGUUGUAAUUAUUUCUGCGAUGCCAUCAGCAUGGAUCAAUCACUCAGGGAGGCUGCGAGUGGAACGCCGCUCGCAGCCAUAGAUGGAGCCAGCAGCGACCAUCUUUGACUGACAGCUUUGGUAAUUAAGUGAUUGUAUAGACCCCUCCGACUGUUAUAACAACCUUGUCAGGGCCAGCCUGUGUUUGGAACACACUCAAAUCAAUGUGUUCUCCACUCCCUAAGCAUUUCUGAUCAUGUACCUCAGACAGAAGAACUCUUUGCAUUGACGCUGCUUUCCUUUAAUAAUUGACAUGGCAGUAAAAGAGAUUUUAAAACACAAAAUAUAUAAUAUAAAAAAUAUACUUAACAUUACCAUUUUAUCAUAUUUUUUUCUCAUAGGAGGCCAAAAAAUUGCAAAUUUCAAGCCCGCUAACGCUUGAUGAAUAAAAGUAGAUUUUACUCUCUUCCUUGUAUCAAUCUUUGAAUUUCAUGGCAUAUAAUAACUCUAACGGGCACUUCAAAUCUGAACUUGAAUGUCACAUGUUUCGUUAUUGAGUGAUGUGUAGAAGUUGAAAUAAUAUACAGUGUGUCCAUCUUAAAUGUCAGGCCACUUUAACGCUCCAACCUUUAAUUCCAGAGCUUCAAAGAUCUAAAUUACCAUUGAAAUUUGCUUCCCGUCGGCAUAUCAUCAUAUCUUUGCCUUAUUUCACCACAUAAAAUGAAAAAUGUUUGACAGCGGAGAACUAGGUUGUCCAUAUGGUCUCAAAGAGAAUAAUUGGUGUGAACAUUCGCACACAAUUCUUUUAGAUUGAUGUGCCAUUGAUAACUCAUCUAUUUAUUAUGUCAAACAGUCAAGAGUUCUUUCUGUUAUUUAGUCUGAACUUUUAAACUGGCAACUGGAGUAUCCAGGUCGAGUUAAAUCAAUAGUGGGUCCACACGGGUCAGAGUACUCAUAAGAGUAAUAUAAAUGGUGAAUAACUGGCUUAUAACGAGGCUAAACGCAUAGAAGGAUAUUUUAAGGCUUUAUUAACUAUCUGUUAUAUAUCAUUUAGAAUGUCUAAGUAUUUAUUUGUCAUUGUUUUUUAUCAUGUUUAUUUAAUGAAAAAACUCAAUUUACUGAUGUCAUUAGAUGUGGCUGAAAAUCACAGAAAAAAGCCUAAAAAUGACCUUUGAGUUAAGUUUUUUUAAAUGAUUUGUUUGUGUAAAACAGCUUUUAUGACAUAUGUUGUCAUGCAUAUGAUGUAAUGUGUGGUUAUAGAGAACCCUCACAUUAAAAAUGCCGUUGGUAUUUAUUGAUACUAUAUGUGAUUACAGCUACAUUGCAACAACAUGUGUCAUAAACCAUCUGUUAAAUAUUUUUCAGUGGGUUUUAGUGCUAAACAGAGAAGGGUACCAUAUUAACAAAAAUGUUGGCCAGGAAGAUUCUGAUUUGAUUGCAUAACUUUGUGUUCACAUUUAUAGCGUCUGGCUUCGCUGUCAGAUUCCUCGGAACAGUUUUUGGUCAGCUGAUGUAAAGUUUAACGUUAGGGGGGCGUUACUCAGCUUGCUAUGAGGUCAGAGUUUAGCAAACUGCUCCAACAGUUGUGCCAACAUCUCUCACAGAGGGUCCAUCCAAAUUUAAUUCAAGUGCCACAGGCUCACUAUUGGUAAACUCUAAAACAUUCAGAAAAAAAUCAUGCAAAACAUAUUUUGAUAUCCUACAUAAAAAAGGACAAACUUUGGGAUCAGCAGAUGUUUUCUGUGUCAGCAGCAAUUCUGAACAAAAUUAAGACAUCUCACUUCUGGUGUCAAAUUCACCCUGUUUGUUUUUCUUUCCACCAGUUCUUCACUGAACCAACAAUUCUCUUGUGGUUUCUCUUGGCCACACACACACACACACACACACACACACACACACACACACACACCAAAAAAGGUUAAGUGUGUGAUAUUUGCCAGAGCUGGAUAUUUCAAAACACAGAGGACCUCUUUGCACCCAGUUAAUUUUUGCAUUUUUGUUUGUUUUCUUUGCUAGAAGUCAUCAUUGCAACAAGCUGAUAUGACAAAUUUUUUAAGAUGUAGAUUUCUGGGAAAGAAUUUGUGACGAAUCCCAAAUCCCCCGGGGACUCAGACACAAAGAUAAGUCAAUUAUUCUUUUAAAAAAUGUAUUUCUCCCUCUGACCACCUAACAUUAGUGACAUGCGGGUGAUACAGGUUUUAUUUUUCAAUGUGAUACUCUGACUUCAUACAUACCUGCUGUCCUUGUUGUUAUCCCUUUGCAGCUUUUAAUCAAUACAAUACUUCCCAUCCCAUCCCAUCAGUCACAGCCUUGUAUGCUGACACUGACACUUAAGCCAUUUUCAUGCCACAACAAUGUGAACUGCUGAGUGCAGCACUUGGCUCUGUUGUGUCUAAUUUGAGAUAUUUUAGCAAAAUUAUAAAAGUAAUACUAAAGCUUAAAAUCCAUACUAACAUGUAUUUAUUGUUGAAUAGUAAUAGUAGCUUAGAUCAUAUAGAAAUCCACAAAAAGUCCCGUUGUCCUCUUAGCUUGUGCAGUGUUAUGGGCUUAUGUUAAUCAGGCACUUUAGCAGCUGAUAAACUUGGAUUUAAAUAUAACUGUGUUCUGAAUUACAAGCAGAAAAAAAUCAAUACACAUACUGAAAUGCUUCUCAGUCACUCUAACUUUUGUUUUACUGGCCCCUGAAUGUUUAAAGUGUUAUGAUGUAUUAUAAAAUAUUUUUAAUACUGCUGGACAGACAAAGUGUGACACAUAACAUUUAAAGCUGUAGGUUCUAAAAUAGGAAAAUUGGCCUUUUUACUUGCAUAAUUAAAAUAAAUCUCUAAAUAGGCCUCCUCCUGUCCUGAUUGGAUCCUGCUUUUAAUGACGUUGCUCAUGAAAAUUAAAAAUAUAUAACCGAGUGAGAUCUUAAGUCUGCGGUCAUAAGGCAAGCUGCAAACCAUGAGUUUAUUCUCAUUAGAGAAACACUACAGCCGGUUGUGAAGUUUUUUUUUUUUGUUUGUUUUGUUUUUUAACUUGUCUUUUGUGAAACUCCUCCAUCUCUCCGUGCGUGUCCGGCUGUCGCAGCAUCCUCCUAACGACACCACCCUCCAUCCCCGCAGUGACUGACAGGCUAAAUGCGGGGGUGUCUCUGCGUAAACGCUGCAACUGUGCAACCUAAAGGUCGCCAGCGGUGAAGUGACAGCUUACACACAAAGCCGCCAGAGAAUCAAUAUGGUGCCAGCCACUGUUACACCGUCCCAUCAUCGACCAUCAGCUGAGGCCAAUAAGACGAUACUCUAACUGGUAGCAUUCAAUUUGCUCCUGCGGCGCCUUAAACCUAAUAAAGCGAUUGAUUGUUCCUGUUUGCAGUUGAUGAGCUGCCCAUGCGCCUCUCCACACAUUGACUGACGUGUUUAAGCAUCGCUUUGAUCCGAUCUGAGCGAUUUGUACGGAAUAAGGCUCAGAAAAGGCCCGAUUACAGGCUGCAUGUGGACAGGAUAUUCUAAUUAGCUCUCCACCGCGGGGAUGAUAUACUUUACAGCCAUGUGUGUCAUGUUGCGCUCGAAAUCUUUGUUUUAUUUUUGGAGCUUCAUCAGUGAUCGAUAACUAUUUUAAAAUAAGUUGUAUAAGUUAAAUGUGAAGCAAUGCGACUCAUUAAAGGGCAGCUGAGGCCCCAGUUUGCUCGUGAACUUCACUCCAGCACCGCCUGGCCUCGCUUUGUCGCCGCCUUGUGUUUAAAGCCUGCCUGCAUCUCACGCUGGAGGAGGGCAACAUCAGCUGAGAUGAUCCAGAGGUAAAACAUCAUUUUAAUCUUCUUAGUGUCCGCGGCUUUUCAUUUAAACAAUUAUGAAAUAAGGUUAGAAAAUGUAAUAGACUUUGUUUAAAAGCUUAAAUAAUAAUAAUAAUAAAAACAUAUUUAGAUUAGGGGCUUGGUUAAAAAAAAGAGAUAUUAUUUUGGAAUUAAAAUGUUCAUAUUUCACCGCACUGAACGUUUUCUAUACGUGAAUAAUAUUUAUGCAAUAUUUAUGCAGCUAGGUAAUAAUGGGUAUUUAAAUUAUUUAAUUAACAUAAACGUUUUAAUUUUAAUUAUGGUGCUGUUCCUAAAAAUAAACGAAUAAAUAAAUAUAGUUCUGGUUAUUUUGUUAUUAAGCAAAGUAAUAAGUAUAAAUUUCCUUCCAAAUUUGUUAAAAAUAAAAGCUCUAUGAAUUAAAAAUAAAUAAAGAAAACACUUUGCUGUUUUAAAUCCCCGGUGUUGUUAUUUUUCAAUGAAUAAAUAAAUUAGGAACAAACCUACAAAUCCGGAUUUUGGACAGCAAAAAAAAAAUCUUCAUCCGCUUCACAUGAAUAAUCAACACCAGCACCGUCUUCCCUGCCCACCUGCUGAAGGAGCAGAAAAAAAGAGAAAAAGAAAUAACAACAAUAAUCAUAAGAAGAA